UUCUGGUUGAUGAAGAAACGAGGGAUUCCCAUCUAUUUUCCACUAUGUUUUAACAACCAGCUACUUCUGACAGAU
rnacentral:snoRNA from 1 species